UAGGAUUGUAUCUCCUAUAAAAGCAGUUGUCUUCUAACGUAUCACUAACAAUUACGAGCAAGAAGCUAUUCAUAAAUAUACUUCGGAACAACUACACCCCUUGCCAGAUUGAUCACACCAUGUUUGGAAAACAUGGAACUGGAGGCAAACUGGCCAUUCUAAUAGUAUUUGUAGACCAAAAAAAAAGGAAAUAUGGUGACUUGGAGAAACAGAAAGCAAACUGUAGUCUCUACUGUCUAGUAGAGGCUGAAAUUAGAGCAUUAGCACAAUGUAUUUGCGUGGGAAUCUAGCUCACAAGGAUACCGCAGGAGCUAAAGGUGGAGAUUAAGGGACCUAAAAUGAUACUGUGAUCUAAUCGGGUAGCUAUAAAUGUCAUAAGGAACCCAGUACACCAGAACCGCACAAAUUACGAUUGUCAGUUUAUUCAUGAGAAAGUAACAGCUGGAAUGAUCGAAGUGGAGUACAAAGGUUGAGUAAGAGGGUAGAUGUAAUCUGAAUACAAACAACGGCAAAGAAGGACAAGAUCAGAAUUCAGAAAACGCAUAAAUCAUAAAUUGACGAAAACAAAAGUACAACCAUCUUUGGAGAGAGAGUGAGGAUGCAUAGAAGUACAUCAUGAGCAAUCAAAAUGAAGAUGCAUAUUGGACAAUCAAAGCCAACUAGUCACACUAUAUAUUUUAUUGGUGAUACAACAGACUAGUGAAAGACUGGUCGUGCUCUGGGUUGCUAUGUGGCGACGUUGGCUGCUACGGUUUCUUGAACCCCGUUGGUUAGCAACACUUCAGUUGGUAGCUAAUAGACAUCGGAUCUAAGAUCAGCGGAGAAGAGACGAUAGACAGGGAAACCGAAUCGGAGGUGGGGAGAUCAUGGAAAUGGCCUUCGUUGAAUGAGAUCUGCGACAAUAACACGAUAUCGACGAUUUAGGAAAAAAACUCGAACAGUACCAAAAAACGGCGACGGCAAUUUCACCACCAACAGAAACCCUUAAUUGGUUACCUGUCUUCCAAGGUUGGGUAGAUCGGCUACACAACUGCGGCCGUAUGGAAGGAAAUCAGGGUUUAAAUCAUUAAAAAAAUACACCAAAUCAAAGAUUGAAUAUUAAAAACAUGAACUAGUACCAUCGACGACGACACUGGUGGUUACCUGGCGUCAGAAGACUAACUGCUCGCCUAUGAAAUAUUGUAGUCGCCGGAUCGGGAAAAAAAAUUGGGGGGCGACAGAGAUUGAAGAAUGGGAAGAGAGGUAGGGUUUUGAGAGUAUUAAAUACCUUAAAUGUCAACCUUAAGAUGUACUUUAGAUCAACGGCUACAAUGCAUCAUCUAUUUUAUAGAUACUUUGUUUCAUCUAUUGAUAUGGAUUCCCGAAUAUCAUGUGAAUAAGUAGUUAGCUGUAAUUAGGCUUGUUAGUACUUAGUAGAUAACUCCCACUUAGAUAUAAUUCUUAUUGACGUUCUUUAACGUGUACUACCAAGGAUGGUACUUAAUCUCCAAUAAAGGGAGUUGUUUUCUUAUCAAUAACAAUUACCAGCAAGAGGCUCAACAAAGUUCAUUUGUGGGGACUCAAGUUCUAUUGGUUUGGUACAAUAACUGAAGGUUGAACAAUGAGCAUUUCUGGGGCAGUUUUUUAUUUUCUGAAUACUACACGGUGCAAAAUUGUUAGUUUUUGGCUUGGCUCAGUUUGAUAUGUGUCUUGUUCUGUAGG
rnacentral:lncRNA from 1 species